GGACACUUGGGAUAUUGGUCAUGGGAAUGUUGCACUGGUGACUGUAUAGAAAAAGGAGGUACAGUAAAUGCACCCCAUAUACAUCUCAACCCAGGCCCUUUGCCUGGUCUGUACUGUGAAUUGUGGACAAAAAA